rnacentral:rRNA from 1 species
UACGGGGGGGGCAAGCGUUGUUCGGAAUUACUGGGCGUAAAGGGCUCGUAGGUUGCCAACUAAGUCAGACGUGAAAUCCCUCGGCUUAACCGGGGAACUGCGUCUGAUACUGGAUGGCUUGAGAUUGGGAGAGGGAUGCGGAAUUCCAGGUGUAGCGGUGAAAUGCGUAGAUAUCUGGAGGAACACCGGUGGCGAAGGCGGCAUCCUGGACCAACACUGACGCUGAGGAGCGAAAGCCAGGGGAGCAAACGGG